rnacentral:rRNA from 1 species
UACGUAGGGUGCGAGCGUUAAUCGGAAUUACUGGGCGUAAAGGGCGCGUAGGCGGUUUGGACAGUCAGAUGUGAAAUUCCUGGGCUCAACCUGGGGGCUGCAUUUGAUACGUUCGGACUAGAGUGGGGAAGAGGGUCGUGGAAUUCCCAGUGUAGAGGUGAAAUUCGUAGAUAUUGGGAAGAACACCGGUGGCGAAGGCGGCGACCUGGUCCUUGACUGACGCUGAGGCGCGAAAGCGUGGGGAGCAAACAGG